rnacentral:tRNA from 2 species
CGGAGCAUGGCUCAGCUUGGUAGAGCGCCUGCUUCGGGAGCAGGAGGUCGUGGGUUCAAAUCCCGCUGCUCCGA